CGACGUCCACUAAUUUGAACCGUUGGAACCAGCAACACUUAAUUGGAUGAGUGUCUCCUCAAAGAACUUCUUGUGCGCAAGUUAAACUUAGUUAAGCGAACCAGCUAGCUUAACCAUUAGCAUGGAGGGACUGGAUGAUGUCACCGCAUCAGUUUUAAGAGCUGCAAACAUCAGCGAGGAAAUGCUGAGCACCUUGUCUCGAGAAGACUUGCGGGAUCUUUUUCCAGGCCCGGAGAACUUUUUUCGGAGAAAAGCAGUGUGGAGUUUGUGUCAUGAUGUGUCAGAGGAUGUCAGUUUCUUAGUCAUAUGACUUAAA